rnacentral:rRNA from 1 species
AGUCGAGCGGAAAGGCCCUUUCGGGGGUACUCGAGCGGCGAACGGGUGAGUAACACGUGAGUAAUCUGCCCUGCGCUCUGGGAUAGCCACCGGAAACGGUGAUUAAUACCGGAUAGGACCACUUCACGCAUGUGAUGGUGGUGGAAAGUUUUUUCGGCGCAGGAUGUGCUCGCGGCCUAUCAGCUUGUUGGUGAGGUAACGGCUCACCAAGGCUUUGACGGGUAACCGGCCUGAGAGGGUGACCGGUCACACUGGGACUGAGACACGGCCCAGACUCCUACGGGAGGCAGCAGUGGGGAAUAUUGGACAAUGGGCGGAAGCCUGAUCCAGCAACGCCGCGUGAGGGAUGACGGCCUUCGGGUUGUAAACCUCUUUCAGUACCGACGAAGCGAAAGUGACGGUAGGUACAGAAGAAGGACCGGCCAACUACGUGCCAGCAGCCGCGGUAAUACGUAGGGUCCGAGCGUUGUCCGGAAUUAUUGGGCGUAAAGGGCUCGUAGGCGGUUUGUCGCGUCGGGAGUGAAAACACCGGGCUUAACUCGGUGCUUGCUUUCGAUACGGGCAGACUAGAGGUAUGCAGGGGAGAAUGGAAUUCCUGGUGUAGCGGUGAAAUGCGCAGAUAUCAGGAGGAA